rnacentral:rRNA from 1 species
UACGGAGGGUGCAAGCGUUAUCCGGAUUCACUGGGUUUAAAGGGUGCGUAGGUGGGCAGGUAAGUCAGUGGUGAAAUCUCCGAGCUUAACUCGGAAACUGCCGUUGAUACUAUUUGUCUUGAAUAUUGUGGAGGUAAGCGGAAUAAUGUCAUGUAGCGGUGAAAAUGCUUAGAUAUGACAUAGAACACCAAUUGCGAAAGGCAGCUUACUACACAACGAUUGACGCUGAGGCACGAAAGCGUGGGGAUCAAACAGG